rnacentral:rRNA from 1 species
GACGAACGCUGGCGGCGUGCUUAACACAUGCAAGUCGAACGGAAAGGCCCUGCUUGCAGGGUACUCGAGUGGCGAACGGGUGAGUAACACGUGGGUGAUCUGCCCUGCACUUCGGGAUAAGCCUGGGCAACUGGGUCUAAUACCGGAUAGGAGCCAUUUUUAGUGUGAUGGUUGGAAAGUUUUUUCGGUGUAGGAUGAGCUCGCGGCCUAUCAGCUUGUUGGUGGGGUAAUGGGCUACCAAGGCGGCGACGCGUAGCCGGCCUGAGAGGGUGGACGGCGACACUGGGACUGAGAGGCGGCCCAGACUCCUACGGGAGGCAGCAGUGGGGAAGAUUGCACAAUGGGCGCAAGCCUGAUGCAGCGACGCCGCGUGGGGGAUGACGGCCUUCGGGGUGUAAACUCCUUGCGCUAGGGACGAAGCUUUUUGUGACGGUACCUAGAUAAGAAGCACCGGCUAACUACGUG